rnacentral:rRNA from 1 species
UUAGAGUUUGAUCCUGGCUCAGGAUGAACGCUAGCGACAGGCUUAACACAUGCAAGUCGAGGGGCAGCGGGGGAGCAGCAAUGCUCCCGCCGGCGACCGGCGCACGGGUGAGCAACACGUAUGGAACCUGCCCGCAGCAGGGGGAUAAGCGGAAGAAAUUCCGUCUAAUACCGCGUAACACCGCGGAGGGGCAUCCCUCGGCGGUUAAAGAUUCAUCGGCUGCGGAUGGCCAUGCGGCGCAUUAGCUAGUCGGCGGGGUAACGGCCCACCGAGGCGACGAUGCGUAGGGGUUCUGAGAGGAAGGUCCCCCACACUGGUACUGAGACACGGACCAGACUCCUACGGGAGGCAGCAGUGAGGAAUAUUGGUCAAUGGCCGGGAGGCUGAACCAGCCAAGUCGCGUGAGGGAAGACGGCCCUACGGGUUGUAAACCUCUUUUGUCAGGGAGCAAGAGGCGGGUCGGGACCUGCUGUGAGAGUACCCGAAGAAAAAGCAUCGGCUAACUCCGUGCCAGCAGCCGCGGUAAUACGGAGGAUGCGAGCGUUAUCCGGAUUUAUUGGGUUUAAAGGGUGCGCAGGCGGAGGCACAAGUCAGCGGUAAAAUCGCGGGGCUCAACCCCGCUCCGCCGUUGAAACUGUGUCCCUUGAGUGCGCGAAGGGUAGGCGGAAUGCGUGGUGUAGCGGUGAAAUGCAUAGAUAUCACGCAGAACUCCGAUCGCGAAGGCAGCCUACCGGCGCGCAACUGACGCUGAAGCACGAAAGCGUGGGUAUCGAACAGGAUUAGAUACCCUGGUAGUCCACGCAGUAAACGAUGAAUGCUAUCUGUCCGGCCGGAAUGACGGCUGGGUGGCACAGCGAAAGCGUUAAGCAUUCCACCUGGGGAGUACGCCGGCAACGGUGAAACUCAAAGGAAUUGACGGGGGCCCGCACAAGCGGAGGAACAUGUGGUUUAAUUCGAUGAUACGCGAGGAACCUUACCCGGGCUUAAAUUGCACCUGAAUAAUGUGGAAACAUGUUAGCCGUAAGGCAGGUGUGAAGGUGCUGCAUGGUUGUCGUCAGCUCGUGCCGUGAGGUGUCGGCUUAAGUGCCAUAACGAGCGCAACCCUUAUCUUCAGUUACUAACAGGUCAUGCUGAGGACUCUGGAGAGACUGCCGUCGUAAGAUGUGAGGAAGGUGGGGAUGACGUCAAAUCAGCACGGCCCUUACGUCCGGGGCUACACACGUGUUACAAUGGGAGGUACAGAAGGCCGCUACCUGGCGACAGGAUGCCAAUCCCCAAAACCUCUCUCAGUUCGGAUCGAAGUCUGCAACCCGACUUCGUGAAGCUGGAUUCGCUAGUAAUCGCGCAUCAGCCAUGGCGCGGUGAAUACGUUCCCGGGCCUUGCACUCACCGCCCGUCAA